rnacentral:rRNA from 1 species
GACGAACGCUGGCGGCGUGCCUAACACAUGCAAGUCGAGCGAAGCACUUUGCUUGGAUUCUUCGGAUGAAGAGGAUUGUGACUGAGCGGCGGACGGGUGAGUAACGCGUGGGUAACCUGCCUCAUACAGGGGGAUAACAGUUAGAAAUGACUGCUAAUACCGCAUAAGCACACAGUACCGCAUGGUACGGUGUGAAAAACUCCGGUGGUGUGAGAUGGACUCGCGUUGGAUUAGCCAGUUGGCAGGGUAACGGCCUACCAAAGCGACGAUCCAUAGCCGGCCUGAGAGGGUGAACGGCCACAUUGGGACUGAGACACGGCCCAG